rnacentral:tRNA from 1 species
GGGAUUGUAGUUCAAUUGGUCAGAGCACCGCCCUGUCAAAGCGGAAGCUGCGGGUUCGAGCCCCGUCAGUCCCG